GAAGGUGUGUCGUGAGGCAUGCUGGAGGUAUCAGAAGUGCGAAUGCUGACAUAAGUAACGAUAAAGCGGGUGAAAAGCCCGCUCGCCGGAAGACCAAGGGUUCCUGUCCAACGUUAAUCGGGGCAGGGUGAGUCGACCCCUAAGGCGAGGCCGAAAGGCGUAGUCGAUGGGAAACGGGUUAAUAUUCCCGUACUUGGUGUUACUGCGAAGGGGGGACGGAGAAGGCUAUGUUGGCCGGGCGACGGUUGUCCCGGUUUAAGCGUGUAGGUGUGUGUUCCAGGUAAAUCCGGUUCACUUUAACACUGAGGCGUGACGACGAGGCACUACGGUGCUGAAGCAACAAAUGCCCUGCUUCCAGGAAAAGCCUCUAAGCAUCAGGUAACAUCAAAUCGUACCCCAAACCGACACAGGUGGUCAGGUAGAGAAUACCAAGGCGCUUGAGAGAACUCGGGUGAAGGAACUAGGCAAAAUGGUGCCGUAACUUCGGGAGAAGGCACGCUGACACGUAGGUGAAGUGAUUUACUCAUGGAGCUGAAGUCAGUCGAAGAUACCAGCUGGCUGCAACUGUUUAUUAAAAACACAGCACUGUGCAAACACGAAAGUGGACGUAUACGGUGUGACGCCUGCCCGGUGCCGGAAGGUUAAUUGAUGGGGUCAGCGCAAGCGAAGCUCCUGAUCGAAGCCCCGGUAAACGGCGGCCGUAACUAUAACGGUCCUAAGGUAGCGAAAUUCCUUGUCGGGUAAGUUCCGACCUGCACGAAUGGCGUAAUGAUGGCCAGGCUGUCUCCACCCGAGACUCAGUGAAAUUGAACUCGCUGUGAAGAUGCAGUGUACCCGCGGCAAGACGGAAAGACCCCGUGAACCUUUACUAUAGCUUGACACUGAACAUUGAGCCUUGAUGUGUAGGAUAGGUGGGAGGCUUUGAAGUGUGGACGCCAGUCUGCAUGGAGCCGACCUUGAAAUACCACCCUUUAAUGUUUGAUGUUCUAACGUGGACCCGUUACCCGGGUUGCGGACAGUGUCUGGUGGGUAGUUUGACUGGGGCGGUCUCCUCCUAAAGAGUAACGGAGGAGCACGAAGGUUGGCUAAUCCUGGUCG
rnacentral:rRNA from 1 species